AUUGGGCUAAAGAACAAGAAGGGCAGUUGCUUGCAGCCUUUGUGAGGUGACUUCGUGUUUCCGUGUAUGGGUAGCUGCCUGAAGCCUUCUGAUGAGGUGUAAGGGCAGAACUGAUUGCAUGCGAUACACAGUGGAUAAGAGGAAAGUGGCACUCAAUUCUGUCUUCUAAAGAGUAUCCCAAUUAAAUUUAGUAACUGCAACUCCAACUGCAGCUGGAGAGGAAAUGAAACAUUUCUCAGAAAAUGUAAAGGGGUGGAACCCACUCAGCAACUUUCAGACAGCAAGCUUGUGAAUACAAUGACAACACAGUUGAAGUGAAGAGCUCAUAGCUUUGCAGAUUGAGGAGAUUUCCACCUUCUGCAUCUUCAGGU